GGCUGAGCUCUCAAAGAAUGCGGAUGCUCAAACAAAGCGUGUGGAAAAGAUUGAGGAUCUUCACCCUGAUACAGUUGUACAGGGUUAUGUUAAGAAUGUGACAUCAAAAGGGUGUUUCAUUAUGCUUUCAAGGAAGAUUGAUGCCAAAAUUCUCAUCUCAAACUUAUCGGAUGAGUAUAUUGACAAUCCUGAAAAAGAAUUCCCUAUAGGGAAUUCUUUUUACUUGUAAUUGGCAGGGUAUUAUCUGUGGAGCCUUUGUCCAGCCGAGUUGAAGUUACCUUGAAGAAAUUGAGUGCAAGCAGUGCCGCAGAAUCUGAAACUAAUAAUUUGAGUUCUCUACAUGUUGGAGACAUAAUUUCUGGCCGGAUUAAACGGGUGGAAUCAUAUGGUCUGUUUAUCACAAUUGACCACACAAACUUGGUUGGAUUAUGUCAUGUGUCAGAGCUUCCAGAUGGUUGUGUUGACAAUAUUGAAACUAAAUAUGGAGUGGGGGAGAUGGUUACUGCAAGGAUUUUGAAGGUGGAUGAGGAAAGACGUCGAAUCUCUCUUGGCAUUAAAAAUUUGGAUCUUGGAAAUGAUAUUAACAUUCUGCAUUCAAAAGCAGAAUCUGAUGAUACCAUUAGUGAAAAUGGUACUAUUGAUGACAGUGGUUCUAAACCACAUGCGAGCAGUUCAGUUGGGAUCCAAGAUAUGGAUAUUGAAUCUGAAAAUGAAGAAUGUCCAGUUCUUGCACAAGCAGAAUCAAGGGCUUACAUUCCUCCACUUGAUGUCACCCUUGAUGACAUGGAGCACUCUGAUGUGGAUGAUGUGAUUGACAAAAAUAAAGAACAUACUGGUGAGGCAAAGAUCGUAGGUGAGAAGAAGAGAAGGGAAAAGAAGGCAAAGGAAGAGAGGGAGCAAGAAAUUAGAGCUGCUGAAGAAAGACUGCUGGAAAAGGAUAUACCAAGAACUGCUGAUGAAUUUGAGAAACUGGUUCGAAGUUCUCCUAAUAGCAGUUUUGUUUGGAUAAAAUACAUGGCUUUCAUGCUUAAUUCGGCUGAUGUUGAGAAAGCUCGCUUGAUUGCCGAAAGGGCUCUGAGAACAAUAAAUAUUCGUGAAGAAAAUGAGAAGCUAAACAUCUGGGUUGCCUACUUCAAUUUGGAAAAUGAAUAUGGAAAUCCUCCAGAGGAAGCUGUUAAAAAAGUAUUUCAAAGAGCUCUGCAGUAUUGUGACCCUAAGAAAGUACAUCUAGCACUUUUGGGAGUAUAUGAAAGGACUGAGCAGCAUAGUUUGGCUGAUGAGCUUCUUGAAAGAAUGGUCAAGAAGUUCAAGCACUCAUGCAAGAUUUGGCUGAGACGGGUACAGAGACUUUUGAAGCAAGAGCAAGAUGGGGUUCAGUCUGUUAUUCAGCGUGCCCUGUUAUGCCUUCCCCGUCAUAGGCAUAUCAAAUUCAUCUCACAAUCAGCUAUCCUUGAGUUCAAAUGCGGGGUUCCUGAUAGAGGGCGAUCCAUGUUUGAAGGAAUUUUGCGGGAGUACCCAAAGAGAACAGAUUUGUGGAGUGUUUAUCUUGAUCAGGAGAUUAGACUCGGAGAUGUGGAUGUAACUCGCUCUCUAUUUGAGAGGGCCAUUAGUCUGAGCCUCCCACCUAAAAAGAUGAAGUUCUUAUUCAAGAAAUAUCUCGAGUAUGAGAAGUCUCUUGGUGAUGAGGAACAAAUCGACUCUGUGAAACAAAAGGCAAUGGAAUAUGUUGAGAAUACUCUGGCUUGAUAUUGGUCCUAAGUUUCCAGUUUCAACUUGCAACAAAAUGGGAAUCAGUUAAUUGGCCUUGUACAGUCCAAAGAUAUCAGUGAAUUUAUUCCAUGUUCUUUCACAAGCAAAAUGAAAGAAAGGCUGCGUAAAUUAUGUCAAGCUAAUUGAGCAUAACAUUGAGGUGUGGCUAACUUAGAGGCCAUUGCAUUGAUAUGAAGUUUCAGAAAUUGCCCGAGUGCUAAUUAGCAGUAUGGAUAAUGUUAGAAGAAAUGGAUGCAAAUGGACAUUAAUGUCAAGAACUCAAGAUAUGUUGUGAACUGAGCCCUAAUUUUGAUCCCAAGGGCUUUUCUUGUACUAUUUAGAAAAUUAAUGAUGUAAAAAUGAAGGCUCAGUUCACAACAUAUCUUGAGUUCU
rnacentral:misc_RNA from 1 species